AACUUCCUAACUAUUCUCUAACUAUCCUCUUCGCUUGCUUAUCCGUUGGUGUCGUGCCACUCUGUCUGCCCAUAAAACGUCUUUGCCUGCCGCUAUCUACCCGCUCUGUGUCAUAAAACGCCACCAGCCAUUGUGUUUUAGCGUCAUUUUUACGAACGUCAACUUGUUUUGCAGCACCCAUGACUCGGAUGCCUUGCGGCCAUGGAAACGAUUACUUAUACAGUGACCGGGGACCAUUCGGCUGCCACUUUUACUGCCGCAAUUCACCCCACAGAAUUGAGAAGCGUCCUGACGGCAAUACCUGCUUGGACCCAGCGACAGCAACCCCGGGCGGAUGUUGGAAUGGCGGCUGCUAUAUUGGACACCGGAAAACUUGAAUGGAG